AAGCCUUGACAUUGAUCGCAAGGAGUAGAGAUACUCUGUUCUUCUUCGGAAGACGAGAAAACAGGUGGUGCACGGCUGUCGUCAGCUCGUGUCGUGAGAUGUUGGGUUAAGUCCCGCAACGAGCGCAACCCCUAUCUUCUGUUACCAGCACGUAACGGUGGGGACUCAGGAGAGACUGCCGCAGACAAUGCGGAGGAAGGCGGGGAUGACGUCAAGUCAUCAUGCCCCUUAUGGCUUGGGCUACACACGUACUACAAUGGCUCUUAAUAGAGGGAAGCGAAGGAGCGAUCCGGAGCAAACCCCAAAAACAGAGUCUCAGUUCGGAUUGUAGGCUGCAACUCGCCUACAUGAAGCAGGAAUCGCUAGUAAUCGCAGGUCAGCAUACUGCGGUGAAUACGUUCCCGGGCC
rnacentral:rRNA from 1 species